rnacentral:misc_RNA from 1 species
GGAUCUUUGCUUGAGCAACGACUUCCGCCCUUUUGAGCGUCUUCAUUCGUGGUAUAAGAGCUUCGCUAGCCUUGGCCGUUUUUGGUUUCCUGUGUUUCAUACCGAUACACGGAAUUGUUUGGUUUCAAUUGCCCCUUGUUCGUCUUAUGAUGCCCGCUUUCAGCGUGCGCGUCGUUGAUGAACCACGAAGUGCCCGUUGCCGUCCGCCACAGCCACGUUUACUAGCGUGUUGGAAGCGGCCUGUGAUAGGGUGCUUGUGCUCAUGGAUGCGGAACCUUCUUAGGGUACGGGGUUCGUCCCCAUUCUGCCCAAAAUGAUGCGUUCACCGCUAAUAAGCGAACGACCGUUGUUGGCGUCUUAGGCCGGCUGCCUCUAUGAGUCAUGCGGACCUGAGCGUCGACGAUGUCGGUAAGGA